rnacentral:lncRNA from 1 species
GUCCGGUGACCUGGCCAUCCAACCAAGAUGGCUGCCACGGCUAAAAAUAGAACAUAGGGGUAAAAUGCAGUUUUUGGCUUAUAACUCAAAAACCAAAGCAUUUAGAGCAUAUCUGACAUGGGGGUAAAAUUGUUAAUCAGGUCAAGAUCUAUUUGCCCUGAAAUUUUCAGAUGAAUUGGACAACCCAUUGUUGGGUUGCUGCCCCUGAAUUU